UCGGGAAUUUUGGGCAAUGGGCGAAAGCCUGACCCAGCAACGCCGCGUGAAGGAUGAAGUAUUUCGGUAUGUAAACUUCGAAAGAAUAGGAAGAAUAAAUGACGGUACUAUUUAUAAGGUCCGGCUAACUACGUGCCAGCAGCCGCGGUAAUACGUAGGGACCAAGCGUUGUUCGGAUUUACUGGGCGUAAAGGGCGCGUAGGCGGUCUAUUAAGUGUGAAGUGAAAUCUCCAGGGCUCAACCCGGAAACUGCUUUGCAUACUGAUAGACUGGAGGGACGCAGAGGUUGACAGAAUUCCCGGUGUACCGGUGAAAUGGGUAGAUAUCGGGAGGAAUACCGAUGGCGAAGGCAGUCAACUGGGCGUUUCCUGACGCUGAGGCGCGAAAGCGUGGGUAGCAAACAGGAUUAGAUACCCAUGUAGUCCCUGAGCGGGCUGGCAAGGCGCAU
rnacentral:rRNA from 1 species